CAUAUGGGGAGCAAAAAAUAAAAGACAGUAAAUCUGCACUUUGUGGGAGUCUCCAUGGGAGUUAAAUAGGGGGGGACAUCUCCUUCUCCUGCCGCAGAGACGUUUCAAUUAUAGAAGAGGAAUCAAGUGGACAUGGUGACAUGAACUUCUACCUUCUACAAGUAGAAAGAGACCAAUCAGCAUUCUUCCAAAGCUAGAAGAAAUGAAGCCAAAGAUAAGC